rnacentral:rRNA from 1 species
GACGAACGCUGGCGGCGUGCUUAACACAUGCAAGUCGAACGGAAAGGCCCUGCUUUUGUGGGGUGCUCGAGUGGCGAACGGGUGAGUACCACGUGAGUAACCUGCCCUUGACAUUGGGAUAAAUUCAGGAAACUGGGGCUAAUACCGGAUAGGAGCUCCUGCUGCAUGGUGGGGGUAGGAAAGUUUCGGCGGUUGGGGAUGGACUCGCGGCUUAUCCGCUUGUUGGUGGGGUAGUGGCUUACAAAGGCUUUGAAGGGUAGCCGGCCUGAGAGGGUGACCGGCCACAUUGGGACUGAGAUACGGCCCAGACUCCUACGGGAGGCAGCAGUGGGGAAUAUUGCACAAUGGGCGGAAGCCUGAUGCAGCAACGCCGCGUGCGGGAUGACGGCCUUCGGGUUGUAAACCGCCUUCGCCUGUGACAAAGCGUGAGUGACGGUAAUGGGUAAAGAAGCACCGGCUAACUACGUG